rnacentral:misc_RNA from 1 species
AACGCACAUUGCGCCCCUCGGUACUCCGGGGGGCAUGCCUGUCCGAGCGUCAUUGAAAACCAUCAAGCCUGGCUUGGUCUUGGGCGCGGUCUUGGGACCCGCCCGCAACCCGUCGGCGGUGCCGUCCGGCUCUGAGCGUAGCAAAACCUCUCGCUCGGGGGUCGCGGCGGUGCCCGCUAGGAGCACACUCCUCAAAGUUUGACCUCGGAUCAGGUAGGGAUACCCGCUGAACUUAA